rnacentral:lncRNA from 1 species
AGGAAAGGCAGCAGAAUACAACAGACACUAGUAUAGCAAUAUGUAAAACAGUGGAUGUGUAACCGAUGUGAUGCUGCAAUCUGUAUAUGGGGUAAAAAUGGGAGUUCAUAACCCACUUGAAUCAAAGUGUGAAAUAUGAUUUGUCAAGAACUAUGUAAUGUUUUGAACAACCAACAAUAAAAAUUAAAGAAAAAAAAAAAGAAACUAAGAUCAAGAUGGCUGUCUAACACUGUAGCCAAGAGCCACCAGGGCUAUUAAGUGCUUCAAAUGAGAAUAAUUUGAAUGAAAUGUGCUGUAAGUAUAAA